CCUACGGAGUGCUGCAGUGAGGAAUAUUGGUCAAUGGGCGGAAGCCUGAACCAGCCAAGUAGCGUGCGGGAUGAAGGCCCUACGGGUCGUAAACCGCUUUUGCAUGGGGAUAACACCCUCCACUUGUGGAGGUCUGCAGGUACCGUGCGAAUAAGGGCCGGCUAAUUCCGUGCCAGCAGCCGCGGUAAUACGGAAGGCCCGAGCGUUAUCCGGAUUCAUUGGGCUUAAAGGGAGCGUAGGCGGGCGUUCAAGUCAGCUGUAAAAUCGCGCGGCUCAACCGCGCCCCGCAGUUGAAACUGGACGCAUUGAGUUCACAACAGGCAGGCGGAGUUCGUGGUGUAGCGGUGACAUGCAUAGAUAUCACGAGGAACCCCGAUUGCGAAGGCAGCCUGCCGGGGUGCGACUGACGCUGAGGCUCGAAGGUGCGGGUAUCAAACAGGAUUAGAUACCCUGGUAGUC
rnacentral:rRNA from 1 species